UAUAAGGUUAAGUGAAUAAGGGCGCACGGUGGAUGCCUUGGCACUAGAAGCCGAUGAAGGACGGGACUAACUCCGAUAUGCUUUGGGGAGCUGUAAGUAAGCUAUGAUCCAGAGAUUUCCGAAUGGGGAAACCCAACAUCUUUGAUAGGAUGUUACUGCUUGCUGAAUACAUAGGCAAGUGGAGGUAGACGCAGAGAACUGAAACAUCUAAGUACCUGCAGGAAGAGAAAGAAAAAUCGAUUCCCUUAGUAGCGGCGAGCGAAACGGGAACAGCCCAAACCAAAGAGCUUGCUCUUUGGGGUUGUAGGACUCAGCUAUGGUAGCUGUAAGCAAUAGUCGAAGCUUCUGGAAAGAAGCUCCAAAGAAGGUAAUAGACCUGUAGACGAAAUGGCUUGCACACCUAUGAGGAUCCUGAGUACGGCGGAACACGUGAAAUUCCGUCGGAAUCCGGGAGGACCAUCUCCCAAGGCUAAAUACUCUCUAGUGACCGAUAGUGAACCAGUACCGUGAGGGAAAGGUGAAAAGCACCCCGGGAGGGGAGUGAAAUAGAUCCUGAAACCGUGUGCCUACAACAAGUUAGAGCCCGUUAAUGGGUGAUAGCGUGCCUUUUGUAGAAUGAACCGGCGAGUUACGAUUGCUUGCGAGGUUAAGUGGAAGAAACGGAGCCGUAGCGAAAGCGAGUCUGAAUAGGGCGAAUAAGUAAGUAGUCGUAGACCCGAAACCAUGUGAUCUACCCAUGUCCAGGUUGAAGGUGCGGUAAAACGCGCUGGAGGACCGAACCCACGUACGUUGAAAAGUGCGGGGAUGAGGUGUGGGUAGCGGAGAAAUUCCAAUCGAACUUGGAGAUAGCUGGUUCUCUCCGAAAUAGCUUUAGGGCUAGCCUCGGAUGAAGAAUGAUGGAGGUAGAGCAACUGUUUGGACUAGGGGCCCAUCUCGGGUUACCGAAUUCAGAUAAACUCCGAAUGCCAUUCAUUUAUAUCCGGGAGUCAGACUGUGAGUGAUAAGAUCCAUAGUCGAAAGGGAAACAGCCCAGACCACCAGCUAAGGUCCCAAAAUAUAUGUUAAGUGGAAAAGGAUGUGGGGUUGCACAGACAACUAGGAUGUUGGCUCAGAAGCAGCCACCAUUUAAAGAGUGCGUAAUAGCUCACUAGUCGAGUGACCCUGCGCCGAAAAUGUACCGGGGCUAAACAUAUUACCGAAGCUGUGGAUUGAACCAAUCGGUUCAAUGGUAGGAGAGCGUUCUAAGGACGUAGAAGCUAGAUCGUGAGGACUAGUGGAGUGCUUAGAAGUGAGAAUGCCGGUAUGAGUAGCGAAAGACAGGUGAGAAUCCUGUCCACCGUAUGACUAAGGUUUCCUGGGGAAGGCUCGUCCUCCCAGGGUUAGUCGGGACCUAAGCCGAGGCCGAAAGGCGUAGGCGAUGGAUAACAGGUUGAUAUUCCUGUACUCGUUGUUUUUGUUUGAACAAUGGAGGGACGCAGGAGGCUAAGGAAAGCGCACUGUUGGAUAGGUGCGUUCAAGCAACAAGUCUUGGAAAGAGUCAAAUGCUUUUUCCUGUACGGAUGAGUUGUGAUGAGGAGGGAAAUUACAGUACCGAAGUUCCUGAUGUCACACUGCCAAGAAAAGCUUCUAGUGAGAAAACAACGACCCGUACCGCAAACCGACACAGGUAGUCGAGGAGAGCAUCCUAAGGUGAGCGAGCGAACUCUCGUUAAGGAACUCGGCAAAAUGACCCCGUAACUUCGGGAGAAGGGGUGCUGACCGUAUGGUCAGCCGCAGUGAAUAGGCCCAAGCGACUGUUUAUCAAAAACACAGGUCUCUGCAAAAUCGAAAGAUGAAGUAUAGGGGCUGACGCCUGCCCGGUGCUGGAAGGUUAAGAGGAGAGGUUAGCUUCGGCGAAGCUUUGAAUUGAAGCCCCAGUAAACGGCGGCCGUAACUAUAACGGUCCUAAGGUAGCGAAAUUCCUUGUCGGGUAAGUUCCGACCCGCACGAAAGGCGUAACGAUUUGGGCACUGUCUCAACGAGAGACUCGGUGAAAUUUUAGUACCUGUGAAGAUGCAGGUUACCCGCGACAGGACGGAAAGACCCCAUGGAGCUUUACUGCAGUUUGAUAUUGAGUGUUUGUACCACAUGUACAGGAUAGGUAGGAGCCGUAGAGACCGGAACGCUAGUUUCGGAGGAGGCGCUGGUGGGAUACUACCCCUGUGUUAUGACCACUCUAACCCGCAUCACUAAUCGUGAUGGGAGACAGUGUCAGAUGGGCAGUUUGACUGGGGCGGUCGCCUCCUAAAAGGUAACGGAGGCGCCCAAAGGUUCCCUCAGAAUGGUUGGAAAUCAUUCGCAGAGUGUAAAGGCAGAAGGGAGCUUGACUGCGAGACUUACAAGUCGAGCAGGGACGAAAGUCGGGCUUAGUGAUCCGGUGGUUCCGCAUGGAAGGGCCAUCGCUCAACGGAUAAAAGCUACCCUGGGGAUAACAGGCUUAUCUCCCCCAAGAGUCCACAUCGACGGGGAGGUUUGGCACCUCGAUGUCGGCUCGUCGCAUCCUGGGGCUGUAGUCGGUCCCAAGGGUUGGGCUGUUCGCCCAUUAAAGCGGCACGCGAGCUGGGUUCAGAACGUCGUGAGACAGUUCGGUCCCUAUCCGUCGCGGGCGUUGGAAAUUUGAGAGGAGCUGUCCUUAGUACGAGAGGACCGGGAUGGACACACCGCUGGUGUACCAGUUGUUCUGCCAAGAGCAUCGCUGGGUAGCUAUGUGUGGACGGGAUAAACGCUGAAAGCAUCUAAGCGUGAAGCCCCCCUCAAGAUGAGAUUUCCCAUUUCUUUAAGAAAGUAAGACCCCUGAAAGAUGAUCAGGUAGAUAGGUUCGGAGUGGAAGGCCAGUGAUGGUUGGAGCGGACGAAUACUAAUCGGUCGAGGACUUAACCAAG
rnacentral:rRNA from 1 species